CCGUGGAGGCGUCGCUGCGCUUCUACACCGACGUGCUCGGAUUCGUCCCCAUCCGCCGACCCGGCUCCUUCGACUUCGACGGCGCCUGAUCUUACUCCUACAGGACACAGGAUCGGAUCCAUACAUCCAUGCAUCGUCUCUGCAGGUUUCUGCUGUGUCUUUGUGUGAUCUGUGGAUCCAUACAUCCAGGCAGUCGUCUCCCUGUUUGCUUUGGAACUUUGCAUGCAACUAGUAGCUAGUGAUUACGUGUGCUAGCAUAUAUAGCAGCUGUGUGAUGCUACUCCAUGCUUUUAAUUUAUUUGGAGCAUCAUGGCCACCGGCCACUUGGACUGAAUCUCAUCAGGUUUCCAAUGUGUUUCUUUUUUUUCCUGAUAGAUGUCCCUGAUAAGAGAAGAGCAAGGCUGCGUUUAGGCACUUGUAUCUGUCCCUUCCCUUGAGAUUUGUGAUUUAUCAUGGUGCUAGUGUUUAUGAUUUUGUGAUCCACUUGUGUUUUGCGUCGACUUACAUUAGCAUGUCUUUUCCACAUGUGUUCAAGCAUGUGAUUUAUCAUGGUGAUGGAGCAGCAGACUUGGACUUUUGGUGGAUCGUGGACUUAUAUGGUUUGAAAUUUGUGCUGCGUAGUGUGUUUAUUUUUUCUUCAUUUGGGGUGGCUGUACAGAUUGAGACUGUACUAACCGAGACCACGGUCAGAAUAAGCGUUAGGUAGACGCGGAGAAUUUUGCUUGGGAAUGAGAAACUCUUAGACUCUUAGUUGAAUGUGGUCAGGAGAUAGCUGUGCUGAUUCAUUGUCAUGCUCAUUUCUGAUUAGCAAUGAUACUUGGUUCUAACGGUCAGGGAAUGACUUGGACUUUAAACUGUUUUAUCUGAACUUUGGUGUGAUUUGGAGAAUUUAGUUACUGUACGUUACUAUGUUCUUUGUUUUGGUUUGAAAACUCAGUAGUUUUCAGUUAUUCGGUACUUGGGCAUGGAAUUUUUCAGCUGCUAGCAUGUGGAUCUUGGUAGUUUUUGGUCUCCACGGGCGCGCGGUCGGCGGAGCCGCCUCCAGCCUGGCGAUAUGUUCUGUUCUGGAAGAAAAGCAGAGGAUUGAUAGAGUGGGAGAAUACUACUCUUUCAAGUUCACUAAAUUGCUAAUCCUUUAAUAUUUUGAUAGAAUUUUUUUUAUGUUUGUAGUGAUAAUUUUGGUGCAGAUUGGAGGUUCACAUGCUGAUGGAAAGUUUUCUGAAUUUUGUGAUAUGUUUGAAUUCUGGAUUUAUAAUUCAUAGGUGAUUUGUGAUUCCAGUGAUUGGAACUUGGAGUUAACUGAUUCGGACUGAGUGAACAAUCUUUCAUGCUUGCCCCAUCCACCAUCCACCUUCAUCAUGGACAUUCAGAUAUCUGCAGCACUAGAAUUGGGAUUGGGAGCAACUAUGCCAUAUUAAAUAUCUGCAUCAGUAGAGAAGAUGGUGCUUGAUGUUUGAAGCUCUAAUACCAAGGGUAGAGGGGACCUACUAACUGGUGCAUCUUGAGUCAUUGGCCAUCAAGAAAAAGCACCAGCUAAUUGAAGCUCUAAAGGCACCUUCUGAAGACUGGAGUUUGAAGACAUGAAGCCAUCUUGCUGCCUAGUCAUGUGCUCCUGUGCCUAGGCAUGUGCUCCUGCAGGAGAUGUAUUUCUUAUGAAUUGUCCUAAGACUUGCAAUAUCUUAUUGGGGCUUUCUGUUUAUAACUAUCAAUAUUGUAGGAUUGUAGAGAUAGCAUGUGUGACUAGGUGAUGUUUGUUAUUUGAAAUUGUUUAAACUGCUUUUUGUAUGAAUUAUGAAUAUUUUCCCAAUCUAUGCUUCAUUACUAAAAAAUAUUAAUUCAUUGGUUC